rnacentral:rRNA from 1 species
UACGUAGGGUGCAAGCGUUAAUCGGAAUUACUGGGCGUAAAGCGUGCGCAGGCGGUUUUGUAAGUUUGUCGUGAAAUCCCCGGGCUCAACCUGGGAGUGGCGAUGAAGACUGCAAGGCUAGAAUCUGGCAGAGGGGGGUAGAAUUCCACGUGUAGCAGUGAAAUGCGUAGAGAUGUGGAGGAACACCGAUGGCGAAGGCAGCCCCCUGGGUCAAGAUUGACGCUCAUGCACGAAAGCGUGGGGAGCAAACAGG